CUUUCACAAGCGGAAGACAGCAACAAGCUUUCGUACUGAACCUUUGACUUUUCAACCUAGACAAAUAAAAGAGUUUUAUCUCAAGAUGCUUUUCUACAGUGUCCUUGAAGACAUUUCCUUCGGCUGCAACAGUCGAAUCAGCAACCAAAGUUGAUUGGCAAUUCUUUUUCAAAAGUCCAAGCGUACGAUUAAGAAGAUUUCCUACAUGACAUGAAAAAUAGUCGAACUUUAUGAUAGAAACUCAUAAGCGAAAUGAGUGCGACAGACAGUUUAGGUAACAGGCCGAAACAGGGAUUUUUAGCCCUGAGUCGAAUGAGUGAGAGAUAUGGCUGACAUGAAACACCUACCGACCAAACUUUUGUACUUCAUUAUGAAUAACUUGUGUGCUAAAUUUGGUAAUAAACACAUGACAUUACAAA